UACAGAGGGUGCGAGCGUUAAUCGGAAUUACUGGGCGUAAAGGGCGCGUAGGCGGAUUAGAAAGUGUGAUGUGAAAGCCCUGGGCUUAACCUAGGAAGUGCAUCGCAAACUAUUAAUCUGGAGUAGAUGAGAGGGUGGCGAAAAUUCCCGGUGUAGCGGUGAAAUGCGCAGAUAUCGGGAAGAACACCCGUGGCGAAGGCGGCACUCUGGGACGGUACGUGGACGCUGAGACGCGAAAGCGUGGGGAGCGAA
rnacentral:rRNA from 1 species